CCCCCCUUCGAAGAAGAGGGGGGUAUAUUGCUUUGCUCAUGUCGGUCUGUCGGUCGGUCGGUCUGUCGGUCUGUCCACCAGGUGGUUGUCAGAUGAUAACUCAAGAACGCUUGGGCCUAGGAUCAUGAAACUUCAUAGGUACAUUGAUCAUGACUCGCAGAUGACCCCUAUUGAUUUUGAGGUCACUAGGUCAAAGGUCAAGGUCACGGUGACCCGAAAUAGUAAAAUGGUUUCCGGAUGAUAACUCAAGAACGCAUACGCCUAGGAUCAUGAAACUUCAUGGGUAGAUUGAUCAUGACUUGCAGAUGACCCCUAUUGUUUUUGAGGUCACUAGGUCAAAGGUCAAGUUCACGGUGACCUGAAAUAGUAAAAUGGUUUUCGGAUGAUAACUCAAGAACGCAUUCGCCUAGGAUCAUGAAACUUCAUAGGUAGAUUGAUCAUGACUCGCAGAUGACCCCUAUUGAUUUUGAGGUCACAAGGUCAAAGGUCAAGGUCACGGUGACCCGAAAUAGUAAAAUGAUUUUUGGAUGAUAACUCAAGAAUGCUUUUGCCUAGGAUCAUGACACUUCAUAGGUACAUUGAUCGUGACUCGCAGAUGACCCCUAUUGAUUUUCAGGUCACUAGGUCAAAGGUCAAGGUCACAGUGACAAAAAACGUAUUCACACAAUGGCUGCCACUACAACUGACAGCCCAUAUGGGGGGCAAGCAUGUUUUACAAACAUCCCUUGUUCCUUAUAUGGCUGUAGUAAAAUCUUGUUAACACUCUAGAGGCCACAUUUACUGUCCGAUCUUCAUGAAACUUGGUUAGAAAAUUCAUCCAGAUAAUAUCUUGGACGAGUCCAAAAAUGAUGCCAGUUGGUUGAAAAACAUGGCUGCCAGGGGGCGGGGCAUUUUUCCUUAUAUGGCUAUAGUAAAACUUUGUUAACACUCUAGAGCCCACAUUUAUUUUCCGAUCUUAGUGAAACUUGGUCAGAAGAUUUGUCCCAAUAAUAUCUUGUUAUCUCAGGUGAGGGACUUUGGGCCUUUCAGGCCCUCU